UGAAUAUAAUUGGGAUUUGUGAGAAUUUUGUAGUAUGUUGUUAUUGAAGAUCACUCUAAUAUUUCAGGUUCUUUUCCUAUUACCCUAAACCAACCAUUUUAUUGGCCAAAUACAUUUCAUGGAAGAAGGAAUUAAGAUAACGAAUUACUGUCUGAAUUGAAUUUCAAUUCCUCUCUCUAGAUUUUUAAUUUAUCUUCACUUCCUGGAUGUAUUUUUUGAAGGUACCAAUGUUUGAAAAGAUGGAUGAACAACUAUUAGAUGCUAUGUGUGACCGGCUCAAGCCAACACUCUAUACCAAAGAAAGUUACAUUGUUCGGGAAGGCGAUCCAGUUGACGAGAUGCUCUUCAUUAUGCGAGGCAAGCUUUUAACCAUGACCACCAAUGGCGGAAGAACUGGCUUCUUCAACUCUGAAUACCUGAAGGCUGGUGACUUUUGUGGAGAGGAAUUGCUUACAUGGGCCCUAGAUCCCCAUUCCUCAUCCAACCUUCCUAUCUCAACCAGAACCGUUCGAACCAUUACUGAAGUUGAAGCAUUUGCUCUAAUGGCUGAUGACUUGAAAUUUGUUGCUUCUCAAUUCCGGCGGCUUCACAGUAAGCAACUCCGCCACACUUUCAGGUUUUACUCGCAACAAUGGAGGACAUGGGCAGCCUGCUUUAUACAAGCUGCAUGGCGUCGAUAUAAUAAAAAGAAGCUGGAAGAAUCUCUGCAACAAGAGGAGGAUAGGUUGCAAGAUGCAUUGGCCAAGACAACUGGGAACUCACCGAGUUUAGGUGCCACCAUAUAUGCCUCACGAUUUGCUGCUAAUGCACUUCGUGCUCUACGGCGUACUGGUACUCGCAAGACAAGGUUGUUGGAGAGGGUUCCGCCCAUUUUGCUUCAGAAGCCUGCAGAACCUGAUUUUACAACUGGAGAAAGAUAGAUGUAGAAGACUAUUUGCUAUGAUAUUUUUUAUGUUUUAUUGUAAAUGUACAAAAAUGAAAUUAGAACUACUGUGGCCAAUGAAGAAAUGAAAAUAGGGGGGAGUUAGAGUUGCUUUGUUCAUAGUCGCAUUUUGUUGACCUUAUUGGUUGUUGUUUUGAGUGUUGUUGUGAAUUGUAAUGCAAAUUCAAUUACAGAAAUGCAAUUCAGUUUCCGUUUCUUUAAUUUGCUCCUUCCCUUCUGUCUCUUCUAUUUUCUCUUGCCAAUCAAUAGUUAGGUUGAUCUUAACAAAAGGUUGUGUUACGUUUAUCAUGUACAUGUUAAUCUGCAACUGUAUUUUUCUCAGCUUUUAUAUUGAGUUGGUUCAAAUUCAUCAUUUAUUGGCGAGCAACAUCAGGAAUCAUCUGGCGACACUAUCAAUUUCUGAAAAUAGAAAAGCAAGCUUGCAAUUGUCGGUAAGCAUUUCAAUAGGCAUCAGAACAAAAUAGUUUACCCGUGCAAUUUCAAAGAGGCUGGUCCAGUGGAGACAAGAAGUAUCAAUUGGACUCUUCAUAGAAGGUUUGGCUUGAAGAAAAGGAUACUAUUAAAAGCUUGUCUGAUGACUCAGAUAUCAAUCACAUUUGACUAUAUACAGAACUAGAGAUACGGAGAUAUUUACAGAACUAGAUAUGCGGAUACAGUUUUGAUCUCCCAAAUUCAAGAUCUUUUCUGCAAGUUGAAUGGAGACAUUCAUCAACUAAAACGGAGAAAAGGAACUUCACAAGAAGUGGCUACAGAGUAAAUUGGGCUUCAAGUCUGUUCUCACCCCUGCAGAGUUUGAAUGGAGGAUCUUAUCCAAAGUUGAAACAGCUUUGGUGAUGUGUUUCCCUUUGUUCAGCAUGACACAACUUGCUCUGUUAAGACGAAAAGGAAUCCUCAAUUCGUACUUUUGGAAAUAAAGAAAGAAAAAGCAUGAAAUUUGAAUUUAUAUUAAUGGCAUGAUCAGGGCAUGCGGAAUAUUUUACCUCCUUCCACUGGCUGCAUCAAUGAUCUCUGCUCGGGUGGGCACACCAGACUUCACAAGGGACUCUAAGACCUGAGUUGCCAAAAUGACAGGUACUUGAGCAGCAUCACAAAGAGAGAGAAUUUCUUCUUGCAUAUCAGCCAACCUUUCCCAGCCACAUUCCACUGCAAGAUCUCCUCUAGCAAUCAUCACUCCAAAGGGAUUUGAGGACUUCAUUGCCUCCAAUAACACCAAAGGCAAUUUCUCAAACCCACUCUUUGUCUCAAUCUUUAAAAUAACACCAAGGUUUUGAAGUUUCCGAUUUUCCAAUUCUUUGCGCAGCACAACAAUAUCAUGGGUGUCUCGGACAAAAGAAAUGCCUACCAUGUCAGAAUGAGUAGCAACAAACUCGAGGUCCACAAGAUCCUUUGAAGUAAGUCCUUCAAACCGAACAUUGCUAUCAGGAAUAUUAAAUGCUAUCCUUGCUAAUGGAUCAUUAAUGGCUGAGCUCCAUAUUUUAGGAAUUAAUGGUGACCUGGGGUAGUGAACUUGAUGAACUGAUUGUUGUGAAUAUAAUUGGGAUUUGUGAGAAUUUUGUAGUAUGUUGUUAUUGAAGAUCACUCUAAUAUUUCAGGUUCUUUUCCUAUUACCCUAAACCAACCAUUUUAUUGGCCAAAUACAUUUCAUGGAAGAAGGAAUUAAGAUAACGAAUUACUGUCUGAAUUGAAUUUCAAUUCCUCUCUCUAGAUUUUUAAUUUAUCUUCACUUCCUGGAUGUAUUUUUUGAAGGUACCAAUGUUUGAAAAGAUGGAUGAACAACUAUUAGAUGCUAUGUGUGACCGGCUCAAGCCAACACUCUAUACCAAAGAAAGUUACAUUGUUCGGGAAGGCGAUCCAGUUGACGAGAUGCUCUUCAUUAUGCGAGGCAAGCUUUUAACCAUGACCACCAAUGGCGGAAGAACUGGCUUCUUCAACUCUGAAUACCUGAAGGCUGGUGACUUUUGUGGAGAGGAAUUGCUUACAUGGGCCCUAGAUCCCCAUUCCUCAUCCAACCUUCCUAUCUCAACCAGAACCGUUCGAACCAUUACUGAAGUUGAAGCAUUUGCUCUAAUGGCUGAUGACUUGAAAUUUGUUGCUUCUCAAUUCCGGCGGCUUCACAGUAAGCAACUCCGCCACACUUUCAGGUUUUACUCGCAACAAUGGAGGACAUGGGCAGCCUGCUUUAUACAAGCUGCAUGGCGUCGAUAUAAUAAAAAGAAGCUGGAAGAAUCUCUGCAACAAGAGGAGGAUAGGUUGC
rnacentral:lncRNA from 1 species